UACGUAGGGGGCAAGCGUUGUCCGGAAUCAUUGGGCGUAAAGCGCGUGUAGGCGGCUCGGUAAGUCCGCUGUGAAAGUCCAGGGCUCAACCCUGGGAUGCCGGUCGAUACUGCCGGACUAGAGUUCGGAAGAGGCGAGUGGAAUUCCCGGUGUGAGCGGUGAAAUGCGCAGAUAUCGGGAGGAACACCUAUGGCGGAAGGCGGCUCUCUGGGACGGUACUGGACGCUGAGACGCGAAAGCGUGGGGAGCGAACAGG
rnacentral:rRNA from 1 species